ACGCUGGCGGCAGGCCUAACACAUGCAAGUCGAGCGGCAGCACGGGUACUUGUACCUGGUGGCGAGCGGCGGACGGGUGAGUAAUGCCUAGGAAUCUGCCUGGUAGUGGGGGAUAACGCUCGGAAACGGACGCUAAUACCGCAUACGUCCUACGGGAGAAAGCAGGGGACCUUCGGGCCUUGCGCUAUCAGAUGAGCCUAGGUCGGAUUAGCUAGUUGGUGAGGUAAUGGCUCACCAAGGCGACGAUCCGUAACUGGUCUGAGAGGAUGAUCAGUCACACUGGAACUGAGACACGGUCCAGACUCCUACGGGAGGCAGCAGUGGGGAAUAUUGGACAAUGGGCGAAAACCUGAUCCAGCCAUGCCGCGUGUGUGAAGAAGGUCUUCGGAUUGUAAAGCACUUUAAGUUGGGAGGAAGGGCAGUUACCUAAUACGUAUCUGUUUUGACGUUACCGACAGAAUAAGCACCGGCUAACUCUGUGCCAGCAGCCGCGGUAAUACAGAGGGUGCAAGCGUUAAUCGGAAUUACUGGGCGUAAAGCGCGCGUAGGUGGUUUGUUAAGUUGGAUGUGAAAUCCCCGGGCUCAACCUGGGAACUGCAUUCAAAACUGACAAGCUAGAGUAUGGUAGAGGGUGGUGGAAUUUCCUGUGUAGCGGUGAAAUGCGUAGAUAUAGGAAGGAACACCAGUGGCGAAGGCGACCACCUGGACUGAUACUGACACUGAGGUGCGAAAGCGUGGGGAGCAAAC
rnacentral:rRNA from 1 species